UGCAACGAAAAUGGUUUUGUCUCAGCAGACC
rnacentral:piRNA from 1 species